rnacentral:rRNA from 1 species
GCCUACGGGGGGCAGCAGUGGGGAAUAUUGGGCAAUGGAGGCAACUCUGACCCAGCAACGCCGCGUGAGUGAUGAAGGUCUUCGGAUUGUAAAACUCUUUAAGUGGGGACGAAGAAAGUGACUGUACCCACAGAAUAAGCCUCGGCUAACUACGUGCCAGCAGCCGCGGUAAUACGUAGGAGGCAAGCGUUAUCCGGAAUGAUUGGGCGUAAAGGGUGCGUAGGCGGCCUGCUAAGUCUGGAGUGAAAGGUACCGGCUCAACCGGUACAGGCUCUGGAAACUGGCGGGCUAGAGAGCAGGAGAGG